GCCCGUGUGGCUCAGUGGUUGAGCGUCGACCCCUGAUGACCCAGGAGGUCCCGGGUUCGAUUCCCGGUCAAGGGCA
rnacentral:tRNA from 1 species